rnacentral:rRNA from 1 species
UGCCCCUAUCCGCGUGGUAUAGAAUGCAAGUCGAGCGAGAUUUCUUUCUGUAGCAAUACAGAAGGAAGUCUAGCGGCGAAAGGGGGCGUAACACGUGGGCAAUCUACCAAGAAGUGGGGGAUAGCCCGGCGAAAGCCGAAUUAAUACCGCAUGUGAUGAGGGAAGACGUCUCUCCGAAAUCGAAGGUGGCGCAAGCUACCGCUUUUUGUGGGGCCCGCGGCCUAUCAGCUUGUUGGUGAGGUAACGGCUCACCAAGGCUAUGACGGGUAGCUGGUCUGAGAGGACGACCAGUCACACUGGGACUGAGACACGGCCCAGACACCUACGGGUGGCAGCAGUCGAGAAUUUUUGACAAUGGGGGAAACCCUGAUCGAGCGACGCCGCGUGGAGGAUGAAGGUCUUCGGGUUGUAAACUCCUGUCAUUUGGGAACAAGGCGUACGUAUUAACUGUGCGUGCGUUGAUAGUACCAGAAGAGGAAGAGACGGCUAACUCUGUGCCAGCAGCCGCGGUAAUACAGAGGUCUCAAGCGUUGUUCGGAUUCAUUGGGCGUAAAGGGUGUGUAGGUGGCGCGCUAAGUCGGGUGUGAAAUUUCGGAGCUUAACUCCGAAGCUGCAUUCGAUACUGGCGUGCUUGAGGACUGGAGAGGAGACUGGAAUUUACGGUGUAGCAGUGAAAUGCGUAGAUAUCGUAAGGAAGACCAGUGGCGAAGGCGGGUCUCUGGACAGUUCCUGACACUGAGACACGAAGGCCAGGGGAGCAAACGGGAUUAGAUACCCCGGUAGUCCUGGCAGUAAACGGUGCACGUUUGGUGUGGGAGGAUUCGACCCCUUCUGCGCCGGAGCCAACGCAUUAAACGUGCCGCCUGGGGAGUACGGUCGCAGAUUAGACUCAAAGAAAUGACGGGGGCCCGCACAGCGGUGGAGAAUGUGCUCACUCGAUGCCAACGCCGAGAAUCUUACCAGGUCCUUGAACAUCAUGU